rnacentral:lncRNA from 1 species
CAUCCCUAACCCCUUCAUUUCUCCGUCUGACGGAGAUUGCCUUUAUCCCCUCGCUCCAGUCAUUUCUUCUUGUUUCCUAGGUUAAACAGACUCUCAUCUCUUGCACUCUAUAGAGAAGCGAGGACCCUCUCCCGCUCCUCACAUCCCCUGGGCUUCUAGCCCCAUUAGGAAUUGGAGUGGAGAACAGGACUCCCUACAUGCUUAGGCCCUUCAGCGUGUGUGUGUGUGUGUUGUGUGUGUGUGUGUGUGUGUGUGUGUGUGUGUGAGAGAGAGAGAGAGAGAGAGAGAGAGAGAGAGAGAGAGAGAGAAAGAUGUGUACCUUUAUAGGAGUGCGUUUGUCUCUGCAGCGUGUCUCUUUGUGCUGUGUGUCUUUCUGUAUUUGUGGGUCUGAAUUAUGUUGUGUCUAUGUUUUGUGUAUUUUCUUUUAGGAAAAUAACAUACAAAAAGAGAAGAAUGGGGUGCGCUGAUUCACACAUUCAUUUGGAAGGAAUUCGGAAGAGGGUCCUCAAGUCUAGGACACCUAGCAAAAAAGGCCGAAGUGCCCGGCGAGCUGGAAACCCUGGCCCAGAGCGCCCAAAAAAUCCCGGACCGGCGCCUCUCCCCACCCCCACCCCCACCCCCACCCCUACCCUCACCCCAAGCGUCCUCCUGGGAGGAGGAGGAAGAGGAGGAUGGAAGAAGCGCAUCACCAAGCAAUCCAUUCCCCGGCCAGUUUGUCCAGCCCUGGCGACGUCUUUGGAUCUGAGAAUUAAAGGGUUCCAGCACUUCCUUCAAGCACCGGCACAAACCCGACCUGCUCGUUUGUCAACUUUCUCAGCCCCUAAUCCAAACAUGCUUGAAAGCCCCUGGCCCCAAGACUUGGUACUCGUUCACUCUUCUUUCUCUCCAGACCCGGGUAGAGAGAGACCUAUUCCCAGCCGGCAGUCGAGCUCAGGACGCGGGGCUCGGAAUUUCUCAGUCGACAGAGCAGAGCAGAGGAAAGCUGAGCAGAGCGCACCCACUCAGCCUUAG